rnacentral:rRNA from 1 species
GUAAGAGUCCAUACUGCCCUGAAUGCACCUGAUCUCGUCUGAUCGCAGAAGCUGAGCCAUGUCGAGCCUGGUGAGUGCCUGGGUGGAGAAGGGGCCGGCACCACGGGGUAAGCGUUUGCA